GGAUCAGUGUCCCCUUCGGCAGAUACGGGUAUGACAGCCUUAUGGAUGCGGUGAACCGGGGGGACAUCGGGGCUGCUGCCCUGCCUGGGUGAAGGAGGAGGAGGAGGAGAGACGAAGGCUGGCACAGCACUGCCACCAAAGGUGGAGCUGAGCCAGCAUCAGCGAUUGUGAAUGGGGCCGUGCGGCAGUGAAUGGGGCCGUGUGGCAAAGGGAAGCCGUGGCAGUGGGGAGAGGAUGGGGGACGCCGCUGAGACAAAGCCGGGGCGGAGGCGGCGGUGAAACGGGAGCGCAGGUGAAGGAGGGAGGAAGAGGAAGGAGGAGAAGGGGGGGCCGGGCUCCGCCAUGGCUACGAAUUUUAACGACAUCGUCAAGCAGGGCUACGUG
rnacentral:lncRNA from 1 species